AAAUGACGCCGAAUCUACUUACACUGAGUUGAGCAAAACAAGAUAUGUGGAGAACAACUACCAAUCUUUAACAUGAACCUGGAAUAUUGAUAUAGGUUCAGGAUAGCCUCCUCUUCAGGCGUCCCUAUUGUAGGAUUACCUGUGACAGAUUUUGUAAAACGCAGUAACCAGAGUACUAGAAUAACCUUUAAAGAAAGAGGGUGGGAAAGGUUAUUUUCGUGAGCCUUGAAUGGUCAAUAUUUGCCGUUUGUGUGAUAUGUAAAAUGCUUGAUUUUAGUGUCGUGGAAUGUGCUUUGUUCUACAGCCGUGAGGCGUGAUUGUCGAUUAAAAUGCUCCGUGAAAUGAAAAUUAAAGAAGCAUGUCUGUGUUGUGAACUGCGUUUUAUUUAUUUCGAUCUAUUUUAUAAUAGCCAUAAUAGACAUGAUACGCGAUAAUAAUUACAUGAUCGACCUCACUUGAGAAGUGAGAGAACUCGAAACUUUUGUACCAUGCAUUAAACAUGCUCUUGAUAAACC